rnacentral:ncRNA from 8 species
GCCAUCAUCAGGCGUCGAGGUUCUCUGGUGUGGCUUGCUGCAUCGGAGCUAAGAGGGAAGCCGGUGUGAUGCCGGCGCUGCCCCCGCAACUGUAAGCGGCGAGCUUGCUGCCCACCCAUGUCACUGAGGCUUCCGGCCUUGGGAAGACGGGCACAAGCGACGACCCGUGAGCCAGGAGACCUGCCGCGACACCAUGAACGUCC